GAUGAAGAACGCAGUGAAAUGCGAUACGUAAUGUGAAUUGCAGAAUUCAGUGAAUCAUCGAGUCUUUGAACGCACAUUGCGCCACCUGGUAGUCCGGGGGGCAUGCCUGUCCGAGCGUCAUUGCUGCCCUCAAGCACGGCUUGUGUGUUGGGCCUCCGUCCUCCUCCCGGGGGACGGGCCCGAAAGGCAGCGGCGGCACCGCGUCCGGUCCUCGAGCGUAUGGGGCUUCGUCACCCGCUCUUGUAGGCCCGGCCGGCGCUUGCCGACACAUCAAUCUUUUUUCCAGGUUGACCUCGGAUCAGGUAGGGAUACCCGCUGAACUUAAGCAUAUCAAUAAGCGGAGGA
rnacentral:misc_RNA from 1 species